AACGUACGCUGGCGGCACGCCUAACACAUGCAAGUCGAACGAAGUAGCAAUACUUAGUGGCAGACGGGUGAGUAACAUGUAGGUAUCUGCCCUUUGGCCUGGAAUAACACGAGGAAACUUGUGCUAAUACCGGAUAAGUCUUUACGGAGAAAGCUUUAUGCACCAUUGGAUGAGCCUGCACUUGAUUAGUUUGUUGGUAGGGUAAUGGCCUACCAAGACUGUGAUCAAUAGCUGAUUUGAGAGGAUGAUCAGCCACAUUGGGACUGGGACACGGCCCAAACUCCUACGGGAGGCAGCAGUGGGGAAUCUUGCACAAUGGAGGAAACUCUGAUGCAGCGAUGCCGCGUGAGUGAAGAAGGCCUUUGGGUUGUAAAGCUCUUUCGUCGGGGAAGAAAAUGACUGUACCCGAAUAAGAAGGUCCGGCUAACUUCGUGCCAGCAGCCGCGGUAAUACGAAGGGACCUAGCGUAGUUCGGAAUUACUGGGCUUAAAGAGUUCGUAGGUGGUUGAAAAAGUUAGUGGUGAAAUCCCAGAGCUUAACUCUGGAACUGCCAUUAAAACUUUUUAGCUAGAGUAUGAUAGAGGAAAGCAGAAUUUCUAGUGUAGAGGUGAAAUUCGUAGAUAUUAGAAAGAAUACCAAUUGCGAAGGCAGCUUUCUGGAUCAUUACUGACACUGAGGAACGAAAGCAUGGGUAGCGAAGAGGAUUAGAUACCCUCGUAGUCCAUGCCGUAAACGAUGUGUGUUAGACGUUGGAAAUUUAUUUUCAGUGUCGCAGGGAAACCGAUAAACACACCGCCUGGGGAGUACGACCGCAAGGUUAAAACUCAAAUGAAUUGACGGGGACCCGCACAAGUAGUGGAGCAUGUGGUUUAAUUCGAAGAUACGCGCAGAACCUUACCAACACUUGACAUGUUCGUCGCGACUCUAAGAGAUUAGAGUUUUCGGUUCGGCCGGACGAAACACAGGUGCUGCAUGGCUGUCGUCAGCUCGUGUCGUGAGAUGUUGGGUUAAGUCCCGCAACGAGCGCAACCCUCACUUUUAGUUGCCAUCAUUAAGUUGGGCACUCUGAAAGAACUGCCAGUGAUAAGCUGGAGGAAGGUGGGGAUGACGUCAAGUCCUCAUGGCCCUUACGUGUUGGGCUACACACGUGCUACAAUGGUAUCUACAACAGGAAGCAAGACUGCGAAGUUAAGCAAAUCCCUAAAAGAUACCUCAGUUCGGAUUGCACUCUGCAACUCGAGUGCAUGAAGCUGGAAUUACUAGUAAUCGUGGAUCAGCGUGCCACGGUGAAUGCGUUCCCGGGUCU
rnacentral:rRNA from 1 species